rnacentral:rRNA from 1 species
UACGUAGGGCGCAAGCGUUGUCCGGAAUUAUUGGGCGUAAAGAGCUCGUAGGUGGCGUGUCGCGUCUGCCGUGAAAGCCCAUGGCUUAACUGUGGGUCUGCGGUGGAUACGGGCAGGCUGGAGGCUGGUAGGGGCAAGCGGAAUUCCUGGUGUAGCGGUGAAAUGCGCAGAUAUCGGGAGGAACACCAGCGGCGAAGGCGGCACUCUGGGCUGGUACUGACGCUGAGGAGCGAAAGCGUGGGUAGCAAACAGG